CUUUGUGCCAGCUUCUGGCUUCGAUCUUUUCUAUUGGAGUCGUCAAGCUGAGAAGUUGGUCCCGAACCCAGCAGGGAAAAUAUACAAGUGAGCAUAUACACAUGUGCUCCGGACCCUAAUCCCACUGCUAUUUCGGCAUCGGUUGAAAAAGGCCAUCAACAAACGCCAAUCUACCGGCUGCCAAAGAUUGCCGUGUCGGCAAGGUCACGCUUAUUUUCUUCGACUACACGGCGAGAAAUCGCUAGGUCGAUUGAGCAGAAAAAAAUACAAGAAAAGGAAGCACUGGAUAAACGAGGCAGCAGAGCAGAUUGGUUACGCUAUUCAGCGCCGGCCAAAAACAGGCGGCUGGAACAGCUAUCUCUGCUGGGGAAAAUUUAUUUGGAGUUCGCAGCAGCUUGGAGCAGAGAAAAACCCACAAAAAGUGACCCAAAAAUAAACGUGUGAAACACAGUGCAGAUUUAAAAAAAUUAAAAAUUGAAAACCCUUAAAAUCUAGUGACAAAUUAAAAGUUAACGAAGACGAGGAAAUGGGUUAAAACAACUCAUUAAAUACACGACUAGUAAAAAUGUAAAAUCUUAAGAAAAAACCCGACCUCAAAACAGAAAAAAAAACAUGCAGA